GAUGAACGCUAGCUACAGGCUUAACACAUGCAAGUCGAGGGACCGGCGCACGGGUGAGUAACACGUAUCCAACCUGCCCUUUACUCGGGGAUAGCCUUUCGAAAGCAAGAUUAAUACCCGAUAUAAAGGAUGGGGAUGCGUUCCAUUAGGUUGUUGGUGAGGUAACGGCUAACCAAGCCUUCGAUGGCUAGGGGUGCUGAGAGGAAGGUCCGCCACAUGGGAACUGUGCCAAGAUCCAAACUCCUACGGGAGGCAGAAGUGAGGAAUAGUGGUCAAUGGGCGCGAGCCUGAACCAGCCAAGUAGCGUGAAGGAUGAAGGCUUAUGGGUCGUAAACUUCUUUUAUAUAAGAACAUGUAUUAUAUGAAUAAGGAGCGGCUAACUCCGUGCCAGCAGCCGCGGUAAUAC
rnacentral:rRNA from 1 species